UAUGUUUUAUGAAUUAUGCUGCCAUUACGUUAAUUCUUUUGUGACACUUAUCCACCUAUGACAAGAACUAUAUUAUCAACAACAAAAAGAUAUUAAAGAAUUAAAUUCAAUAGGUUCUGAUCAAGUAAGAUUCAUUAAUGGAUGCUAAAACUAAUGGGUGAAUAUAUGAUGAGAAGCAAGGCAUUUACAGUGUCUCAAAAUAUCUCCCCACAAAAAACCCUGCUAUUUACAAAGGGGAAAAAGA